GUAAGUAGCGGCGAGCGAACGCGGAUUAGCCCAAACCAAUAAAGUUUUCUUUAUUGGGGUUGCGGACAUAUCAUAACGAAGAGGUAUCGUAAUUGAAGAGGUUUGGAAAGACCCACCACAGAAGGUAAUAGUCCUGUAUGUUAAACGAGAAGACUUCAGAUAUGAUCCAGAGUACCACGGGACACGUGAAACCCUGUGGGAAGCAGGAGGGACCACCCUCCAAGGCUAAAUACUACCUAGUGACCGAUAGCGUAUAGUACCGUGAGGGAAAGGUGAAAAGAACCCCGGGAGGGGAGUGAAAUAGAACCUGAAACCCUGCACUUACAAGCUGUGGAAGCACAUUUCUUGUGUGACCGCGUACUUUUUGUAGAACGGGCCAACGAGUUACGUUAAGUAGCAAGGUUAAGCACUUAAGGUGUGGAGCCGUAGCGAAAGCGAGUUUUAACUGAGCGUUCAGUUACUUGACGUAGACCCGAAACCGGGCGACCUACCCAUGAGCAGGAUGAAGCGAAAGUAAAAUUUCGUGGAGGUCCGAACCCACGAGCGUUGAAAAGCUCGGGGAUGACUUGUGGGUAGCGGUGAAAUUCCAAUCGAGCCCGGAGAUAGCUGGUUCUCCCCGAAAUAGCUUUAGGGCUAGCCUCAAGGUGAGAGAUACGGAGGUAGAGCACUGAAUGUCCUAGGGGGUAUUGCACCUACCGAAGACUAUCAAACUCCGAAUGCCGUCAUCUUAUACUUGGGAGUCAGACUGUGGGUGAUAAGAUUCAUAGUCGAAAGGGCAACAGCCCAGAUCGUCAGCUAAGGUCCCUAAAUGUAAGUUAAGUGGUAAAGGAUGUGGGAUUGCACAGACAACCAGGAUGUUGGCUUAGAAGCAGCCACUCAUUCAAAGAGUGCGUAAUAGCUCACUGGUCGAGUGAUCCUGCGCCGAAGAUUUCCGGGGCUAAAACUUACUACCGAAGCUACGGCAUCAGUAAUGAUGGGUAGGGGAGCUUCCCAUACGGGUUGAAGCAUGACCGUAAGGACAUGUGGACAGUAUGGGAGUGAGAAUGUUGGCAUGAGUAGCGAGAUGUGGGUGAGAAUCCCACAGGCCGUAAACCCAAGGUUUCCAGGGGAAGGUUCGUCCGCCCUGGGUUAGUCGGGACCUAAGCUGAGGCCGAAAGGCGUAGGUGAUGGACAACAGGUUGAUAUUCCUGUACUACCGAUAACCGUUUGAGAGAAGGGAUGACACAGUAGGAUAAGCUAAGCACACUGUUGGUUAUGUGUGCCCAAGCAUUGAGGCAGUCAAAGUAGGCAAAUCCGCUUUGAUAAUGCUGGGAUGUGAUGGGGAGCGAAAUUUAGUAGCGAAGUAGCUGAUUUCACACUGUCAAGAAAAGUCUCUAUCGAGGUUAAAGGUACCCGUACCGCAAACCGACACAGGUGGGUGAGGAGAGUAUCCUAAGGCCAGCGAGAGAACUGUUGUUAAGGAACUCGGCAAAAUGACCCCGUAACUUAGGGAUAAGGGGUGCCACCAUCAGGUGGCCGCAGAGAAUAGGCCCAAGCGACUGUUUACCAAAAACAUAGGUUUCUGCUAAGUCGCAAGACGAUGUAUAGGAGCUGACGCCUGCCCGGUGCUGGAAGGUUAAGGGGAUCUGUUAGAGCAAUCGAAGCAGUGAACUUAAGCCCCAGUAAACGGCGGCCGUAACUAUAACGGUCCUAAGGUAGCGAAAUUCCUUGUCGGGUAAGUUCCGACCCGCACGAAAGGCGUAACGAUUUGGGCACUGUCUCAACAACAGACUCGGUGAAAUUGUAAUUCCGGUGAAGAUGCCGGAUACCUGCGACAGGACGGAAAGACCCCAUGGAGCUUUACUGUAGCUUGACAUUGGGUCUUGGUACUACAUGUACAGGAUAGGUGGGAGGCUUUGAAACCAGGACGCCAGUUUUGGCGGAGCCAUCCUUGGGAUACCACCCUUGUAGUACUGGGACUCUAACCAUAGGCCAUGAAUCUGGUCUUGGGACACUGUCAGGUGGGCAGUUUGACUGGGGCGGUCGCCUCCCAAAAGGUAACGGAGGCGCUCAAAGGUUCUCUCAGUACGGUCGGAAAUCGUACGUAGAGUGUAAAGGCAAAAGAGAGCUUGAUUGCAAGACAUACAGGUCGAGCAAGGAUGAAAAUCGGACUUAGUGAUCCGGUGGUUCUGCGUGGAAGGGCCAUCGCUCAACGGAUAAAAGCUACCCUGGGGAUAACAGGCUUAUCUCCCCCAAGAGUCCACAUCGACGGGGAGGUUUGGCACCUCGAUGUCGGCUCAUCACAUCCUGGGGCUGUAGUAGGUCCCAAGGGUUGGGCUGUUCGCCCAUUAAAGUGGUACGCGAGCUGGGUUCAGAACGUCGUGAGACAGUUCGGUCCCUAUCCGUCGCAGGCGUAGGAAAUUUGAGAAGACCUGUCCUUAGUACGAGAGGACCGGGAUGGACGUACCUCUGGUGUACCAGUUGUUCUGCCAAGGGCAUGGCUGGGUAGCUAUGUACGGAAUGGAUAAGCGCUGAAAGCAUCUAAGCGCGAAGCCAACUUCAAGAUAAGAUUUCCCACCGCAAGGGUAAGACCCCAGAAAGACUAUCUGGUUGAUAGGUCGAAGGUGUAAGUGCAGCAAUGUAUUUAGCUUAUCGAUACUAAUAGGUCGAGGACUUGACCAA
rnacentral:rRNA from 1 species